CCUUGCUUCGCCAACCGCCAUAACAGUACUGCUGCAUGUGUCAUGUGUGUUCCAGCAACGUGCAAUCGCCGUCGUUUUACUGAAAUAUCAGACCAAUGGGCUCAUGACCAAGUGGUUGAAGACAGUUCAUCAAUGAUGGCCAGAGUCAGAGUGGAACCUGAAGACAGCAGGUGACGGGACAAAUAUGUCUUUUCAAUUAAAACAGCGAGUAUCCAAGAAACUUCAGAAUGACAAGGUGAUGGAUGUUGCUGGUUGCUGUUUGUUGCAUCUCCUGCCAAGUUUGCGCCAGAAAGGAGACGUGAUGGAGGGACACGCCUGGGACCCAUUCACCUUCAUCUUAAGUCUUACCGUUGUACGGUCAUUACUUAAAAUACAACAGUAUCAAAUAUUUUAAUACACGUAUCUGAAUAAUUGAUCAAUGUUCUCUUCUAGGGUGACUGUUAUUUUUCUAUAAGUGUUCAACAGGGAAAAGUUCUCAAGUUAUGGAAACUCAACUACUGUCUUUAAGGUAGAAUGGACCAUUUUCCUUUACAUGUUUGAAAUGUUUCAUUUGAAGCAACAGAAGUGCUUACGAAUCUAAAGAUUGGAACUUAAAAUCAAUCUCAUACAGUUUUAGUUCAGUGAAUGCUUUAUUUAGCGGAGAACACAUUUUCUUGAUCUUGAUUUAGUCAAAGUUUGUUAAUGCAUGAGUGCCUAAUUCUCGCUCAGCCACCAAACCGAUGACUAAUGGCAACGAAACUAAUGUUUUGCAAAUGCAACCCCAAAACAAGUUUGGGUCGGGUCAGGUUGUUCAUUUCAGUAGGGUCGGUGUUGGUUUUGCAUUUGCGAUUUUCAGGUCAGUUAUUGUACAAAGCCAAAAUAAUUGGGGGGAAAAACCCAGAAACAGUUCGGAUAUUCGCACGGUUCAGUCAUUUUAUUGCAGAGUCUUUGUGCUGGGUACAACCAACUGUGGUUUAUAGUCUAUCGUGUGCUGUUAGUAUUCACUGUACCUUAUGGUUCGUUACAAUUAUUUAUACAUGUAUUUAAACCAAGUUCAAAAUUUUACGCAAUAAA